rnacentral:rRNA from 1 species
UACCAGCACCCCGAGUGGUCGGGACGAUUAUUGGGCCUAAAGCAUCCGUAGCCGGUUCUACAAGUCUUCCGUUAAAUCCACCUGCUUAACAGAUGGGCUGCGGAGGAUACUAUGGAGCUAGGAGGCGGGAGAGGCAAGCGGUACUUAGUGGGUAGGGGUAAAAUCCGUUGAUCCAUUGAAGACCACCAGUGGCGAAGACGGCUUGCCAGAACGCACUCGACGGUGAGGGAUGAAAGCUGGGGGAGCAAACCGG